rnacentral:piRNA from 4 species
AGUGUAGUAUCUGUUCUUAUCAGUUUA